UCCCUGCAUCUCCCUCCUCUUCUGCUCGCCCCGGAACCAGCUGACUUUUAUCACAACCAGGAAACAAUCAAACAACCUCUUGAGCUGCUCCUCCUCCUGCCAGCACGGCCAUCUCCCCGAGCAGAGGAUGCUAAAUAAUAAUCUGGAAUUGGUGACAAAGCCGGGCAUUUUGUUCCUGAGGGUCGCUGGAUCUCUGCUGGGAUCAUGACCUGGUUAUUGGAGGUGAUUAAGAAAUGCAUAUUCCAAAAUGGGAUAUUGGAAUCAUCAGUGGAAUCCUUCUUCCCACCAUGGAAAAUCAAAAAAGUCUGGAAGUUUGUGCUCAAAGGUUUCAUCCAAAAUAAAACCUUUGCAAAAGGGGAAAAAAAUGAAGAUAAAAAUAGUCCCAAAGAAUCAGCACAGCAGGAAAAUUCCGAGCUGGUCAUGGAAUGAGCGUCAGCAUUCCCUGUUUGUGAGUUCCUCACUCAAAUUGGGUUAUGUUACAAUACUGGAAUGAAAUAAAGUCACUAUGAAAAGUUGC
rnacentral:lncRNA from 1 species